UACAGAGGUCUCAAGCGUUGUUCGGAUUCAUUGGGCGUAAAGCGUGCGCAGGCGGUUUUGUAAGCCAGAUGUGAAAUCCCCGGGCUCAACCUGGGAAUGGCAUUUGGGACUGCAAGGCUUGAGUGCGGCAGAGGAGACUGGAAUUCCUGGUGGUAGCAGUGAAAUGCGUAGAUAUCAGGAGGAAUACCGAUGGCGAAGGCAGGUCUCUGGGCUGACACUGACGCUCAUGCACGAAGCGUGGGAGCAACAGG
rnacentral:rRNA from 1 species